AUUGAACGCUGGCGGCAUGCCUUACACAUGCAAGUCGAACGGCAGCACGGGAGCAAUCCUGGUGGCGAGUGGCGAACGGGUGAGUAAAGUAUCGGAACGUGCCCAGUCGUGGGGGAUAACGUAGCGAAAGUUACGCUAAUACCGCAUACGAUCUACGGAUGAAAGCGGGGGAUCGCAAGACCUCGCGCGAUUGGAGCGGCCGAUAUCAGAUUAGGUAGUUGGUGGGGUAAAGGCUCACCAAGCCGACGAUCUGUAGCUGGUCUGAGAGGACGACCAGCCAAACUGGGACUGAGACACGGCCCAGACUCCUACGGGAGGCAGCAGUGGGGAAUUUUGGACAAUGGGCGAAAGCCUGAUCCAGCCAUGCCGCGUGCAGGAUGAAGGCCUUCGGGUUGUAAACUGCUUUUGUACGGAACGAAAAGGUUUGGCCUAAUAAGCUGAGCUCAUGACGGUACCGUAAGAAUAAGCACCGGCUAACUACGUGCCAGCCGCCGCGGUAA
rnacentral:rRNA from 1 species